CCUAAUCUCUCUUCUACUGCUGUGUCAGAUUCUGUCUUUCCUUUGACUCCCUCUCCUCCUGCCGUGAAAAACACGGUCUAUCCCUGGAAAAAAUUGAGAAUACUUUUUGAUAGUGGAAACAUCCUUGCAUUUCCCUGCAGGAAAACUUGGUCAAAGUCUACUCUCCACUCUUUCCUCUACUUUUCCUCCUUCACCCAUUUUAUGCUUUUUAAACCCAUCUCUGCUUCCUCUAUUCACAAUCUUCUCAAGUGCCAUUCAGAGCCAAUCUUCCUGUAGAGAAAGAAACACAGUUGUUUGUUGUGGGGUAAAAAUGGCACUGAACAGAGGUUGUAAUAUCAUGUUGGUGGUUCUCAUCAUUGCAGUUGUUCUUCCAAAUAUUUGUUCUGCUGAUACCGAUAGCCCUUCUCCUGCCCCUGCCAACCAUGGAGUGGGGAUUAGCCAGGGUAUUGAAGAAUAUAUCAUUAUGAUGGUGGCCCUGCUAUUUGGGUAUCUUUUCAAUGGUGUGUUUUGAACAGGCUAUGGCUAUGCUUACACUAUGAAUAAAUUAUUGAGAUAUUGAUUACUGUACUGUCUUUCAGUUUUAACACAUUUUGUGUGAAGCAGUUGGCAUCAAUUAAGAUUUACUCUAAUAAAUGUGGUAUCACUGUCAUUUCUCA